rnacentral:rRNA from 1 species
AUCUUGACUGGUUCUUUCGGGAGCUGGGAGGGAUGUAUUUAUUAGAUUCAAAAGCCAAUGCCAUUCUUUUCGGAGAGUGGAAAUUUAACAUAUGGUGAAUCAUGAUAACUUUACGAAUCGCAUGGUCUUUUGUGCCGGCGAUAGUUCAUUCAAAUAUCUGCCCUAUCAACUUUCGAUGGUAGUAUAGAGGACUACCAUGGUGUUAACGGGUAACGGAGAAUCAGGGUUUGAUUCCGGAGAAGGAGCCUGAGAAACGGCUACUACUUCCAAGGAAGGCAGCAGGCGCGCAAAUUACCCAAUCCCGACACGGGGAGGUAGUGACAAAAAAUAACAAUACCGGUCUUAUUUAAGUCUGGUAAUUGGAAUGAGUACAAUCUAAAUCCUUUAACGAGUAUCAAUUGGAGGGCAAGUCUGGUGCCAGCAGCCGCGGUAAUUCCAGCUCCAAUAGCAUAUAUUAAAGUUGUUGCAGUUAAAAAGCUCGUAGUUGGAUUUUGAAGUUUACAUAUUAUGACCCACUUUGUAUUAAGUGUGUUUUGUUGUGAUAUGUACUUCUCCUUACUAGACUUUCACUAUUACACUUUAUUGAGUGAUAGUUUCAUUUUAAUUUAUUAGAAUAAGUGAUAAGCAGACCUAU